rfam:Homo sapiens chromosome 4, GRCh38 reference primary assembly.
UUGUGGCCGAACCGCCGAACUCAGAGGCCGGCCCCAGAAAACCCGAGCGAGUAGGGGGCGGCGCGCAGGAGGGAGGAGAACUGGGGGCGCGGGAGGCUGGUGGGUGUGGGGGGUGGAGAUGUAGAAGAUGUGACGCCGCGGCCCGGCGGGUGCCAGAUUAGCGGACGCGGUGCCCGCGGUUGCAACGGGAUCCCGGGCGCUGCAGCUUGGGAGGCGGCUCUCCCCAGGCGGCGUCCGCGGAGACACCCAUCCGUGAACCCCAGGUCCCGGGCCGCCGGCUCGCCGCGCACCAGGGGCCGGCGGACAGAAGAGCGGCCGAGCGGCUCGAGGCUGGGGGACCGCGGGCGCGGCCGCGCGCUGCCGGGCGGGAGGCUGGGGGGCCGGGGCCGGGGCCGUGCCCCGGAGCGGGUCGGAGGCCGGGGCCGGGGCCGGGGGACGGCGGCUCCCCGCGCGGCUCCAGCGGCUCGGGGAUCCCGGCCGGGCCCCGCAGGGACCAUG